GGAAAAUAUCACUCAGCAAUGGAAAUAAAGAACCUUUAAUCUUCUUGUAGCCAAAGGAAAAGUUUUAUUUUGUAACUGUGGCUGCAGAAAAACUGAAAUAAUAUGGUAUUCAAAAUAUCAGAGUAAAAAUAGGAAGAAGUAUGGAAUUACAAUUCAAUUGUUGUCUCAGAACUACCUUGGCAGUUUUCUGAUAAUUAAUCUUAUCAGUUUUCCGUGCUAGUUUGGCUUCACUUUCUUACAUCCAAGACUAGUGCUAGUUAUUACUACUGCUAGAUGCUGAUAGAUUAAACUGUUGAUAGAAUGGUAAAUUUUAGUACAUAAAAUUGGAGUAGCAUUGCAGGACAUGGUUGGUUUUAUAUCUAAAAUAUAUAUGUGUUAUAUAUAUAUAUAUAUAUAUAAAAUGUGAAGGAAGGAGCUGUGCCAAACAGUGAACACUGAUGAAAGAAAGCUAUGAUAUGAUAUUGUAAAUACGGGAGAAGGAAUGGUGACCCAGAAACAGCAGCAUGUAGUCUGAGACUUAUAGGAAAUUACACCGCUUGUAAGUUCUGAAGUUAGAAUCAAAAGAACACACAACUGCUGUAAUGAUGUCAGGAAAACGAAUCAUGGGCAACUCUGACCCCAGUAUGCUUAUGCUUGUGGAAUAAACAGGAAAUGCAGAAACACUUUUUUUUCUCACUGUACAACAGCUAAAAAUAUUUAGGAUUCUUAAGAACUGAUAUCCCUUCACAAACAAUUGUUGUUACAAAUUUUAAAUAAGACAUUUUAACAGCUUCCCCUUGUUCUCUACUUCUUCACUUAGAACAAAUUUUUAUAGGGAGGAAAAAAAAUUGUGAUUCAAGACUUUUUAUAUGGUAUUAAAGAUGAUCAUAAUGUUCCUUUCUGGAAAACAGGAAGUUGUCUGAGACACGCUGCAGCUGCUGAAUUCCUGACUGCUUUAGCAUAAGACAAAAACAUGCCCAGAAAAGAAUACAGAAGAUGGAGCAUACAAAUAUUACUGCAUGUAAUCACUGCAGCUACUCCAGGAACUGACAAAUCUGUUAUACCAUCCAGCAGCUUAAAUCUUUGUUUCUGCUUUCCUUACAACUAUGCUGUAGAGAUGUUGUCUUGAUUCACUCAAGCAGAUUCCUUUUACAAGUGAAUCAUUUCAACAUUAGGAAAGAGAAGAAAUACUACAGGGAGAAAAAAAGAAACACGAGGUAGAAGAUGCCCUGUGGGAUCACCACUUCAGUAUUCCAGAAGGAAGCAAUGGAAGACUUCAGUUACCUGUGAACAGACUUGUCCUAUGAAGUAUUACAGCACGUACGUAAGAUUUCAGAAGUAAUUGGUUUUUGAAGUGAAAACUCAGGUUAAUCCCAAGAACAGAAGACCUUGUCGGAAUAUGCUGGAGAAACAUCACUGUAAUAGUGACUGUUUCAGAAAAAAAGCAACCUUGUAGUUGCUGUUUGCUCUAGUGGAUAAUCUAUUCCUGAAUAGAUCUUCAGUGCCAAAGGAAUAUAAAGUGACAAAUACCAUUUCAGUCUGUGAAACAAUCUCUCUGUUUCCUGAGCACUACAAAACAGAUCUUUCUCAGAGGUAAACUGAAUUUCUCUGAGCUAAAUACAGUAAUAGGAGAAUUAGGAAAUACAUAUAAUGGUUUAUAGAAGACUAAAUGUGAGAUUUUUUUGUAUUACAAAAUAAUGCCUCGCGCUCUGCUAGAAUUUUGAGGGCCUGGUGCACACGUGGCUAGCAUAGUUCAUGUGCUAUUGCAGGUCACCUAGAAGAAAGCUAAUUAUGAUCUUUAGCAAAAACCCAAAGUUAUACAUGUUUGUCAAAAUCAGAACUUGACUGUAAAGACUUAAAGAUUUGUCUACUGCUAAGAUAACAAAAUGGGAACUGCAGAUGCUGCUAUGUAUGUGGGAAAAAUAAAAAUAUAAAAAAGCAUAUGCAGCAACAGUUUUUAAUUGGAAAAACAUUUCUGACAGUCUACUGAAAAGCAUUUGGUCAGUCCCCUGUAACAUUCAAAAAGCAUGUAGGAGUAUUAGGAAUAAUGCAGCUAUAAUGUGUAGGGCUGUGACUGAAAAAGACUACAUAGGAUCUAAAAGACGUACGGGAAAAGAUUUUCAAAGUAAUCAGUUCUGUGAUUGGGUUACAGUGCACAAUGAGGUUAAAUACACUAGGAAUUUUCAAUAAUAAGACACAGAGAUUAAGGGCCAAAUAUUAUGGAAGUAUAGAAAAUCAUAAGCAUUUUAAUUGCCAUGGGAUAGCACGGUGAUGAAAAUGGGUUUAUCGUUUUUCUGGAGGAUAAGUCUGCAAGGAUCUGUUAAACAUAAUUAUCCAAAUGUGACCUCUGGCUCUGGAGGGCUAUCAGAUAUGCUUUUCCCUCUUCCAUGUGUCUGCUGAUCUGAUUCCUUCAAAGGCUUUUUUUUACUGCCUAAAAUAAUCAACUUUCAUUUGCCUGCCACUGAGGUAUUAUGAAAGCUUGAAGCAAUGUUUAAUUUUGCCUUGGAAAAGAAACUAUAUCUACAAGAACUUGAAACAUGUAUUAUGCUGAAGAAAAUACAUUCUCAUGUUUUAUGCUUGCUUAUUUAAUGGUUUUCCUGCAUUUGAAGCACAAAAGUAAAAUGUGAUCUCUUUAUUUGUAUGAAAUCGUUCAUGGAGCUCAGAACAUGAGUAGAAAGAUAUUAUGCUCCAAAGAUAUUGCUUUGUGAUUGAUUCAGGUGAUUUGCGAGUAUGUAGGGCUAUGACACGUUAUUGUAAUCAAAGAAAUGUUUGUAUAGCAUCAGCAAUGCAUGCAUUGCAAGGCCAGAAAACAUUGUGCUAACUGCCUGCUUUAAUCAGAGGACAGAGGUAGUAAAGCUUAACUGAAUUAUCUCUUGUCAAGCUAUUCUUGUACUGUAUCUCUUAAUUAUUUUAAAAGAGUUUACGUAUUUUCCAACUACCAAGCAAUAGAAACAAAUAUUUAAUAACUCUCCUAACAUUGCCUUUGUAGUGUCAGCUUUGUUUCAGAAAUAUGCUGUCUUAUUUCCUACAGAAUUUCCUUUCUGUGCCCUUUAUUGCUUCUCACUUACCUUAAUAACAUCCUUUAAUCUUUGCCCUUGGGACUAAAUAAUGGAUGUUCAACACCAUCUUUACUUUUGAAUGAUGCUUGAAAUGCAGAGCAGCAUAGUUUAUUUAUCCUUCAAAUCUAAGGAUACUUAGAAUUCCCAAUGCUUAAGCUCUGAAGACUAAGUAUAGGGCAACAAAUAAUGUUUUUCUGCAUAGCAGCCUUCAUGGCUGCCAGUUAGAUAGUUAUUCAGAUAUGUGUUUUUUGAUUAGUUGAUCAGCUGAUUUUUUUUCUUUCCAGUUUUCUGCUGUUCUGCCAGCUCUGCUGUUUGUCAGGCUUUGCAGGAGAAAGCCAGCUGUCCUGUUAAAUUACCAGUCUUUUCAAGAGGAAGUCAACUUCAGCGUUCUUUUAACUGAUAGAUAAACCUACACUGCCAGAAACAAAAAAAAUAAAGAAAGAAAGAAAAAAACUUGUACAACUGUACUCAAUAUCUAGCUUCAUGACUACAAAUGCUCUCAUAGUUGUGUGAGGAUGAGAAAUAUCUAAAAUUUGUCUAUAUCGUCAUAAAUAUUGUAAGCACAUUGCUUCUGUGUUUCUUUUUUUCACUGUUACAGGGCAGUAAGCACCUGAAGAAGUGGUUUCUUACUCUUACUGAAUUAUAUAGAAUCACAGAAUGGCUUAGAUUGGAGGGGAUCUUAAAGGUCAUCUAGUUCCAACCCUCCUGCCGUGGGUUGCCUAUCACUAGAGCAGGCUGCCCAGGAUCCCAUCCAACCUGGCCUUGAAUGCUUCCAGAGAUGGGCCAUCCACAACCUAACAUCUAACCUCAAUCUCUCCUCUCUUAGUUUUUAGCCAUUGCCCCUUUCCUGCCACUACUAGACUGUGUAAAAAGUCCUCAAGUAUAAAAAGCUCCCCGCAGAUACUGUGGAAGACCACCAUGAGGUCUCCCCAGAGCCUUCUCUUCUCCAAGCUAAACAAACACAGUUCCCUCAACCUUUUCUCAUAGGAGAGGUGCUCCAGCCCCUUGAUCAUCUUCAUGGCCCCUCUCUGGAUCCACUUCAACAGCUCUGCAUCCCUCCUGUACUGAGGGCCUCAGGCCUGGAUGCAGUACUCCAGAUGGGGCCUUACAAGGGCAGAGUAGAAGCCACCCAUCCCAUUCCACUGCUUAUACUUUUCCUCUUUUCUGUCAGCUUGGUCGGCAGGUCCUUGCUCAGCCAUGCUGCUUUACUUCCUCAUCUGCCUGAUUUCUUAUUCUGGGAGAUGGAGUCCUCUUGUGCUUGAUGCUUCUUUCAAGAAAAACAUCUUUGUGAUACCCUCUCUUGCUCUUUGGUUGCUAUGGUUUUGCUGUUUAAAACUAAAAAAGUAAAGGAACACUGAUUGUAGCUGGACAUAAUUACUUUCAGGUUUUACUUUUGUUUGUACAUGAGAUUGAAUUAAUCAUUACAUUGGUUUCUUCUACUGUAUAAGCAUGCCCAUAUACCUUGUAAUGUAGCUUGGUUUUAAGUCCAUUUAAAACAAGAAAUGAAAAGUAUAUUUACAUCAUUUUACUUUUUAUUUUUCCAGUUUAGCAAAAGCAGUUUAAAAACCGCAUUCAAAAGUGAAAUGAGACACAGCAAUGUAAACAAGCCUAUGACCACAUACAGCUGCUCCCUAAGAAGUUUAUAUGAGAUUCACUUCUGCUAAAAAUAGAGACUUGCCUAGAGUAAGCUGUGUUUCUUUGUGCUCCCAUUUAGGCUCCGCUCUAGUCAAAUGUUCUGUGCUGCACGUUACGCAGUGACUGGCAGGAAUGGGGCCUUAUGUAAAUAUGAUGGAUGAGGUUUGCAGAAUGAAUUCUAGUUCAAUAAUUUGUGAGUAUCUAGCCUGUGUGCUUUAUCUGUCUUUCCUGGAGAAGAUGUCUCAGGGAAUUGAGACAUCUGUUGUGAUGGAUUUUGUAUGGCAAAUGUCAAUCCCAACCAGUGAAUUAUUUUCUAUAUUUAAAUUGGUUUUAGAAUGACAUAAAUUGUACUUAAACGAGCCCUUUUGUCAGUGAAAUUCAUCACAGUCUUAUAAAUUCAGCAGAGAUUUCAGUAAUUCUAUCAUCUGGGCAUGUCCCACAACAUUUUAUUAAACAAAAAAAAACUUGUGGUUAAAUAGCUAUGGCAACAAAUACCUAUGAUAUAUUCGACAGAUGAGUAACUUGCAGACAAAGAAAUAUUUUCAAAUUACACUGUUUGAAGCACUCAUUAUUUAGUCACGCAUUUUUAUUUUCCUUAGAAGCUGUUUUGAUAGUAAAUAUUAGUCCAAUGCUUUGCAUUGAAUCCAUUAAGAAAGUAAUUUAGAAUUAUCGCCAGCCUUAAGCAAUCGUUACACAAAAUUAUCAUCGCAGUAUUUGCUGUGUUCAGUAACUUUGCUCUUUUGUCUUCGUUUUAUGUUUAUAGUAGAAAAAUAGCGAGCAACUAAAAGUGUCACAUUUUCAAGCAAAAAAAAAAUACAAAGUCAGUUCUCUCAGCUAUGGUGAAUCAGAGGAAGAUAGAAUUAAUGCAGAGCUCUAAAGAAUAAAUUUCUAUCGUGAUCAGUAUUUUUUUGCUGUUGAAAAAGACACAUUCAAGUCUGAGCAGGGUCAUCAGAGCAGUGUUGUGUUGCUGCACAGGGAAUACGAAGGAAAUUGCAAAGAAGGGAAAUUUUAAUAGUCUGCUAGUUUUCAUUUUCUACUGCUCUGGAUUUUUAUGACAAUAGUGAAAACCAUGUUGCAGAGAAAUGAACUGCAGAACUGCAACGAGUUUGCAGUCAUGAAUAUUCAUUGGCUCAAUUAGCAAAUUAAAAAUGAAAUCUUGGUGUGUUUUAGUAAUACUGUUG
ensembl:lncRNA